AGACGUCUACAUUAGAUACCCGCGUAGUCCCAGCCGUAAACUAUGCUCGCUAGGUGUCAGGCAUGGCGCGUUAGGUGUCCUGGUGACCACGAGUCACCUGGGUGCCGAAGGGAAACCGUGAAACGUGCCGCCUGGGAAGUACGGUCGCAAGGCUGAAACUUAAAGGAAUUGCGGGGAGCACCACAACGGGUGGAGCCUGCGGUUUAAUUGGACUCAACGCCGGAAAUCUCACCGGAUAGGACAGACAUAUGAUAGUCGGGCUGAAGACUCUACUUGAUGAUCUG
rnacentral:rRNA from 1 species